rnacentral:rRNA from 1 species
UACGUAGGGCGCAAGCGUUAUCCGGAAUUAUUGGGCGUAAAGAGCUCGUAGGCGGUUUGUCGCGUCUGCCGUGAAAGUCCGGGGCUCAACUCCGGAUCUGCGGUGGGUACGGGCAGACUAGAGUGAUGUAGGGGAGACUGGAAUUCCUGGUGUAGCGGUGAAAUGCGCAGAUAUCAGGAGGAACACCGAUGGCGAAGGCAGGUCUCUGGGCAUUAACUGACGCUGAGGCACGAAGGCCAGGGGAGCAAACGGG